AACGAACGCUGGCGGCAGGCUUAAUACAUGCAAGUCGAGCGGGCACUUCGGUGUCAGCGGCGCACGGGUGCGUAACGCGUGGGAACAUGCCCUUAGGUACGGAACAACACAGGGAAACUUGUGCUAAUACCGUAUAAUAUCUCCGGAUCAAAGAUUUAUCGCCUAAGGAUUGGCCCGCGUUAGAUUAGGUAGUUGGUGGGGUAAUGGCCUACCAAGCCGACGAUCUAUAGCUGGUCUGAGAGGAUGAUCAGCCACACUAGAACUGAGACACGGACCAGACUCCUACGGGAGGCAGCAGUAAGGAAUAUUGGACAAUGGGCGAAAGCCUGAUCCAGCCAUGCCGCGUGAGUGAUGAAGGCCUCAGGGUUGUAAAGCUCUUUUAGAUGGGAAGAUAAUGACUGUACCAUCAGAAUAAGCCCCGGCUAAAUUCGUGCCAGCCGCCGCCGUAA
rnacentral:rRNA from 1 species